rnacentral:rRNA from 1 species
AUUGAACGCUGGCGGCAGGCUUAACACAUGCAAGUCGAACGAGUGGCGGACGGGUGAGUAAUGGCUGGGAAACUGCCUGAUGGAGGGGGAUAACUCCUGGAAACGGUAGCUAAUACCGCAUACCAUCAGAUGUGCCCAGAUGGGAUUAGCUUGUUGGGGGGGUAACGGCGCACCAAGGCGACGAUCCCUAGCUGGUCUGAGAGGAUGCCCAGCCACACUGGAACUGAGACACGGUCCAGACUCCUACGGGAGGCAGCGGCGGGGAAUAUUGCACAAUGGGCACAAGCCUAAUGCAGCCAUGCCGCGUGUAUGAAGAAGGCCUUCGGGUUGUAAAGUACUGUCAGCGGGGAGGCGUUACCCGCAGAAGAAGCACCGGCUAACUCCGUGCCAGCAGCCGCGGUAAUUC